CCUACGGGAGGCAGCAGUGGGGGAUAUUGCACAAUGGGGGGAACCCUGAUGCAGCGACGCCGCGUGGGUGAAGAAGCGCCUCGGCGCGUAAAGCCCUGUCUGCCGGGAAGCAAAUGACGGUACCUGCAGAAGAAGCCACGGCUAACUACGUGCCAGCAGCCGCGGCAAUACGUAGGGGGCCAGCGUUAUCCGGAUUUACUGGGGUGAAAGGGGGCGCAGACGGCGAUGCAAGCCAGGAGUGAAAGUCCGGGGCCCAACCCCGGGACUGCUGUUGGAACUGCGUGGCUGGAGUGCAGGAGGGGCAGGCGGAAUGCGUGGUGUAGCGGUGAAAUGCGUAGAUAUCAGGAGGAACACCGGUGGCGAAGGCAGCCUGCUGGACUGCAACUGACGUUGAGGCACGAAAGCGUGGGGAGCAAACAGGAUUAGAUACCCCAGUAGUC
rnacentral:rRNA from 1 species